GGCUUACCAUGCAGUCGAGGGGCAGCAUGGUCUUAGCUUGCUAAGGCCGAUGGCGACCGGCGCACGGGUGAGUAACACGUAUCCAACCUGCCGUCUACUCUUGGACAGCCUUCUGAAAGGAAGAUUAAUACAAGAUGGCAUCAUGAGUCCGCAUGUUCACAUGAUUAAAGGUAUUCCGGUAGACGAUGGGGAUGCGUUCCAUUAGAUAGUAGGCGGGGUAACGGCCCACCUAGUCUUCGAUGGAUAGGGGUUCUGAGAGGAAGGUCCCCCACAUUGGAACUGAGACACGGUCCAAACUCCUACGGGAGGCAGCAGUGAGGAAUAUUGGUCAAUGGGCGAGAGCCUGAACCAGCCAAGUAGCGUGAAGGAUGACUGCCCUAUGGGUUGUAAACUUCUUUUAUAAAGGAAUAAAGUCGGGUAUGNAUACCCGUUUGCAUGUACUUUAUGAAUAAGGAUCGGCUAACUCCGUGCCAGCAGCCGCGGUAAUACGGAGGAUCCGAGCGUUAUCCGGAUUUAUUGGGUUUAAAGGGAGCGUAGAUGGAUGUUUAAGUCAGUUGUGAAAGUUUGCGGCUCAACCGUAAAAUUGCAGUUGAUACUGGAUAUCUUGAGUGCAGUUGAGGCAGGCGGAAUUCGUGGUGUAGCGGUGAAAUGCUUAGAUAUCACGAAGAACUCCGAUUGCGAAGGCAGCCUGCUAAGCUGCAACUGACAUUGAGGCUCGAAAGUGUGGGUAUCAAACAGGAUUAGAUACCCUGGUAGUCCACACGGUAAACGAUGAAUACUCGCUGUUUGCGAUAUACGGCAAGCGGCCAAGCGAAAGCGUUAAGUAUUCCACCUGGGGAGUACGCCGGCAACGGUGAAACUCAAAGGAAUUGACGGGGGCCCGCACAAGCGGAGGAACAUGUGGUUUAAUUCGAUGAUACGCGAGGAACCUUACCCGGGCUUAAAUUGCAGAUGAAUUACGGUGAAAGCCGUAAGCCGCAAGGCAUCUGUGAAGGUGCUGCAUGGUUGUCGUCAGCUCGUGCCGUGAGGUGUCGGCUUAAGUGCCAUAACGAGCGCAACCCUUGUUGUCAGUUACUAACAGGUUCCGCUGAGGACUCUGACAAGACUGCCAUCGUAAGAUGUGAGGAAGGUGGGGAUGACGUCAAAUCAGCACGGCCCUUACGUCCGGGGCUACACACGUGUUACAAUGGGGGGUACAGAGGGCCGCUACCACGCGAGUGGAUGCCAAUCCCAAAAACCUCUCUCAGUUCGGACUGGAGUCUGCAACCCGACUCCACGAAGCUGGAUUCGCUAGUAAUCGCGCAUCAGCCACGGCGCGGUGAAUACGUUCCCGGGCCUUGUACACACCGCCCGUCAAGCCAUGGGAGCCGGGGGUACCUGAAGUGCGUAACCGCGAGAGCGCCCUAG
rnacentral:rRNA from 1 species